GACGAACGCUGGCGGCGUGCUUAACACAUGCAAGUCGAGCGGUAAGGCCCUUUCGGGGGUACGACGAGCGGCGAACGGGUGAGUAACACGUGGGUGACCUGCCCUCCAGCUCUGGGAUAAGCCUGGGAAACCGGGUCUAAUACUGGAUAUGACUCCAUGACGCAUGUUGUGGGGUGGAAAGCCUUGUGCGGCUGAGGAUGGGCCCGCGGCCUAUCAGCUUGUUGGUGGGGUGAUGGCCUACCAAGGCGACGACGGGUAGCCGGCCUGAGAGGGCGGACCGGCCACACUGGGAUUGAGACACGGCCCAGACUCCUACGGGAGGCAGCAGUGGGGAAUCUUGCGCAAUGGGCGAAAGCCUGACGCAGCGACGCCGCGUGAGGGAUGACGGCCUGGUGUAACGUACUUCUA
rnacentral:rRNA from 1 species